UACGUAGGCAGCAAGCGUUGUUCGGAAUUACUGGGCGUAAAGGGCGCGUAGGCGGGCUCGUAUGUCGAUUGUGAAAGCCCUGGGCUUAACCCGGGAAUGGCAGUCGAAACUGCGAGUCUUGAAUGCUUGAGAGGAUGGCGGAAUUCCCGGUGUAGAAGUGAAAUUCGUAGAUAUCGGGAAGAACACCUGAGGCGAAGGCGGCAUCUCGAUGCCGACAGUAUGCUA
rnacentral:rRNA from 1 species